GACAGAGGGUGCAAGCGUUGCUCGGAAUCACUGGGCGUAAAGGGUGCGUAGGCGGCUCUUUAAGUCAGGGGUGAAAUCCUGGAGCUCAACUCCAGAACUGCCUUUGAUACUGAAGAUCUUGAGUUCGGGGGAGGUGAGUGGAACUGCGAGUGUAGAGGUGAAAUUCGUAGAUAUUCGCAAGAACACCAGUGGCGAAGGCGGCUCACUGGCCCGAUACUGACGCUGAUGCACGAAAGCGUGGGGAGCAAACAGG
rnacentral:rRNA from 1 species